rnacentral:tRNA from 1 species
AGGUAGCUCAGUUGGUAGAGCAUGAGACGCUUAAUCUAAAGGUCAUGGGUUUGAGCUCCACAAUGGGUGAAAUA